AUUGAACGCUGGCGGCAGGCCUAACACAUGCAAGUCGAGCGAGCGGCGGACGGGUGAGUAAUGUGUGGGGAUCUGCCCGAGAGAGGGGGAUAACUACUGGAAACGGUGGCUAAUACCGCAUACUAUCGGAUGAACCCAUCUGGGAUUAGCUAGUAGGUGGGGUAAAGGCUCACCGAGGCGACGAUCUCUAGCUGGUCUGAGAGGAUGAACACCCACACUGGAAUUGAGACACGGUCCAGACUCCUACGGGAGGCAGCAGUGGGGAAUAUUGCACAAUGGGCGCAAGCCUUAUGCAGCCAUGCCGCGUGUAUGAAGAAGGCCUUAGGGUUGUAAAGUACUUUCAGCGGGGAGGCGUUACCCGCAGAAGAAGCACCGGCUAACUCCGUGCCAGCCGCCGCGGUAAUAC
rnacentral:rRNA from 1 species